AGAGUUUGAUCCUGGCUCAGAACGAACGCUGGCGGCAGGCUUAACACAUGCAAGUCGAACGCCCCGCAAGGGGAGUGGCAGACGGGUGAGUAACACGUGGGAACGUCCCCCUCGGUUCGGAAUAACUCAGGGAAACUUGAGCUAAUACCGAAUACGUCCGAGAGGAGAAAGAUUUAUCGCCGAGGGAUCGGCCCGCGUCUGAUUAGCUAGUUGGUGAGGUAACGGCUCACCAAGGCGACGAUCAGUAGCUGGUCUGAGGGGAUGGCCAGCCACACUGGGACUGAGACACGGCCCAGACUCCUACGGGAGGCAGCAGUGGGGAAUCUUGGACAAUGGGCGCAAGCCUGAUCCAGCCAUGCCGCGUGAGUGAUGAAGGCCUUAGGGUUGUAAA
rnacentral:rRNA from 1 species